AGCAUUCUAAAGCCCCUGACCAGGGACGGUGUGAAGAGGUUCAAGCACCCUGCAUAGAGAAGAAUGCCCACUUCGUUACCACUCUUUUCGAACAGGAUUCCAUGAAUGCCGCAUUCGCCAGCUUUUCCCAAGCCUCAGAGUAUCUGUGUGUCUUUCAUUCACUGUGAGGCCCUCUAUGCAGCCCGGGACACGGAGACACCAUCCAGUCCCACCCUGAGGGUCUCAUGCUGGGAGAAAAACAAUCUCAAAAGUCCCGGGUUUGGAUUUGGGGUGGCUCAAAUUCAAGGAGCUGGAACCAAAGAGUAUGAAACCAAGACGCAGCUCAGCAUGCAGAGCCAGAGCUCUUCUCCCCCGAGAAGACGACUUCCCUGCAUCUCCAGCUCCAUAGGACCCCUCGGUUGACUCUCUUCAGCUUCUCUGCAUCUCCAGCUCCAUAGGACCCCGUGGUUGGUGCCCAUCAGCCUCCCAUCACCUCCAGUUCCACAGGAUCCCAUUGUUAGUGCCCUUCAGCCUCCCUGCAUCUCCAUCUCCAUAGGACCCAUGGUUGAUGCCCUUCAGCCUCCCUGCAUCUCCAUCUCCAUAGGACCCGCAGUGGUUGCACUUCAGCCUCCCUGCAUCUCCAUCUCCAUAGGACCUGUGGUUGAUGCCGUUCAGCCUCCCUGCAUCUCCAGCUCCGUAGGACCCCGUGGUUGGUGCCCUUUGGGCAAACAUCCCAUCAGCGUGGGCCACAUUUAUUCCACUGAAUGAAGAGCAUUUUCGUUUUCCGAUCAUGGACUAUUAGCUGUGGGAUGCACCAAAUAACCCUUUAUUUCAACCCUCCUGGUUUUACAGAGGGGGUAGCUGGGCUUUAGGCAGUGGAAUGAUGACACCUUGGUGGCAACACUGGCAAAGGGCGAAGGAGGCUGGGGCCCAUGACCUCCAGGGGCUGUAAUGGCCAUCUGACCUCUGAGUUCAGUCACAUAUGCAGAGCCCAGCAUGACUCCCAGCAGCCUGUCCAGAGGAAAGCUUGAUGAAGAACUUCAUAAUACCAUAGAACUCCAUUUUAAAAGCAAAAAUAUGUUUCUUUUAAAUAGCCUAUGAUUAAAUGUUAUUUGAUUUAAAAAGAGAGUGUACUGCACAGCUACUGAAACAGAGUUUAGGACUUUUGCAAACAGAUUCUAGAGAGGCAGUUCUCUGAAGACUGACCCUGAGGCCUCCAGGCCACAGCCCUUGAGGACCCGAGGUCCUGUCAUCUCCAGCAGCCACGCAGGGAAGCUGGACACAAGGCCUGUCCCAGCUGACCUGUGGGCUGACCGCAGCCCUGGCUGACACUGUAAUUGCAGCCCACAUGGUCUUCUGGGCCGAGGACCCAGACAAGCUGCAUCCGAUGCCUGACUUACAGAAACUUCCAGAUAAUAAGUGUGUGUUGUUUUCAGCCACUAAAUGUUGGGGUAGUCUGUUAUGCAGUAAUCCAUAACUAAGACAAAAUUUAACUCGAAUGAGGUUUAAAAAUAAAACAUAAGUGCAUAUACUAAACUCA